GUAGUAUUUAUAUUUGUAUUUUUUUUUUGUUUUUUUUUGGAUUCACUCCUUUCGGUCUAUACGCGGCAUAUACCUAAAUAUGCAUUAAUGAAAACGAAAUCCAUAACCCAACCGAAGUACUGAAGCGAAAUCCGCAAUGUUUAAAUCAAAUAAUAUAUAACAUACAUAUGUAUGUAUGUAAGUAGAGCAGUAAAGCUGUGGCUGCAUAAACAAAUAGACAACAAACAAAUUCGCACACCAAAAACACGGAAGUGUGCAGAAAUAAAACAAUAGGUUGUAUGCUCGCCAGAGACUUACACCCACAGCCGAAUUGCUACACACUCAACCCAGUGCCAGUCAUUCGGGACUCGCUGAGCUUGAAGCCGAAAAUGUAGAGCACACGAACUGAGUAACGACAAUAUACGAAGGCUUGUCACCGAAGCCCGAAGUGCGGCGUUACUAUGUAAGGGCAAGCCAAGGAUGCGUUCAGCAAGCAAACAACUUGCAACACUGCCGAGUGCCGCGGCGUCGGAGGUGACAGACGUACCGCAAUCAACGGGUCAUGCAACUUUAAUGGGUAAACAAAUCACAGUUACGGUCUGGAAUGUUUUGAUUGUUGUUGCAACAUGAACUGCGACUUUGUGGUCGUUGCUGGAUUGUUUUAUUGCAAUAUUUCUUUCUAUGGCAAUGUUUACACCGAUUUCGGGCAUUUCUUCGCGUCACCAUUGUUUCACAAAUGCAUUUACAUACAUAUAUACGAGUACUACAUAUGAAAUCGGUAUCCACUCAAAACCUCACUAAAUUGUUUGCGAAGAAUACAAGGAUGUUUAUAUGUCGGCUAUUAAAAAGUGGCAUGUCGGAAAAACCAAUCGCUUGACCAUUUUUAGUCGAAACGUAGAACAAACGCAACAACAAGCAACGGUAGAAGAAUAAAACAAAGCAACAACAUUAUCGCCAACUUACUUUUAAUAUGGUGCCCUUAUACACACUCACAAACACCCUCACAAGCACACUCAAAACCAGCAAACAGCAAAACAAUUGAGUCGUUCGAAUGUCAGUCACCGUCUGUUGCAACAAUUCUCACAAGAGCGCAGACAAACGCAAACGUGCCACCAGCCACAUUAUGAAACUCUCUCAGCUAUAUGAAAGGAGCCCUUGUCUGCUACGUACAACAGUAACAACAACAGACGUAAAGCAAGUAUUUAAUACCAUUCCGGCAUAUUGCAAGCACGACCUGCCACACUUCGCUAUGCGCUGCCCGCACCCCAACAGCCUGUCUGGUGAGGUGUUUGUAUUUCUGCUAAACCAAACGAAUGCCAAAAGAUCCUGCGAUGUACAUAUGUAUGUACACAUUUGCAUGUGUGUGUUUAAGUAGCUUGUCUGACCCAAUUUAAAGGCUCGCUGAAAUGCGCGUCCAGAAGUUCGUAAACUUUGGGAAAUCUUCCCGACGGAAUGUUUCAAGAGUUUUUUUAAGUCAGAAAGGUUUUAUCUCACACAACGAGCGAUCAGAUCGAAACUAGAAACCACCCAACAAAUAUUCAUCCAUCGCUGUGUGUUACGGUGGCGCCAAAUUGAAUAAUCUCACUUGAUUCGUUAAGGGAAAGUAGGGAAUCUUGCAAGACACAUAGCAAGUGGCCUGGCUUUGCAAGAAGUGAUAUGUCUGUGAGUGUAAAAACAAACUAAAUACGGCAAAGAACAUGAACACAGUAGGCUUAGCACACCUGUGACAAAAUUAUGAGCAGCCGAGAGGAGUUUGCACUGAUGCAACAUUCACAGAUAUGUGCACAAGUCUAUAAUAUGUGCAUAUCUGCACAUAUUUUACAAAAAAUCACUCACAGAUGGCAAAUCGGAAGAUGUAGACUCAAAUUUCGCAAUAACUCAAUCAAUUCACAACAGCGUCGUUACCACCCUAACUGACAUCCGCAUCCGCUAGCUAGACGGCAGUGCCUUCCUACUACAUUUACAUAUCAGGCCGACUCGCAAACACCUACGCCAAAAUGAAAACAUAAUUCUUCUUGCUUUAUCCUACGGUGAUGGUAGCCUGGCGAUGAGCCCAAGACUUGCUGUGCUCGGGAUUGAGAGUGAGUCGGAAUAUGUUGCGAUGUCCUGGUAUUUUCUUUCGCGCCUUGCAGAGCCCUGAACGUGCCGCACAGUACCGGAAGUUGGUAAUAUAUUUUGCACCGUUACAAAAGGAAGCAGUUUGCGCAACCACCUAACUUCACCGUUUCCCCUCUACGACAAGGUCUUUUCUCGUUCUUCGCUAGCAAUAUGAAUAUACUCGUACACCCUUAUUGUUCGUAUCGAAGGGUAAAGCGAAAGUUGCAGCUAACUUUUCGUACGUUGACACUUUAAUGUCUUUUUGGCAGACGUUGGAUACAAUAAUUUUGUACCACAAUCCUAUAAUCGUAGAUAGAAGCCACCCAAAAACAAACAAAUCAUGCAAUAUACGUCGAGUCGAUUUCACUCACGAAGUUUAAUAAUCUUACGCAUUCUGAUGACUUAUGCAAUGACACAUACAUACAUACAUAACUAGGUAAUCUAUUAAGCGGAAAGCUAGGCUACGAAAUCUACUUCUUCGAAAUUACCGUUAUACUAAUUAUUUAUUAUAACAGAGUUCAGUAUCACUCGCUGUUUUAUAUCUACCUAAUCUGCUAGGUUAGAUUAAAAGACUAAUCCCAAAGACGAUAAUAAAAUGACAAGUCGCUUUGAGCUUCCUAUCUCUGUAUACCAGUGUUAUAAUAGAAGAAUCACAAAAAUUGCGGUAGAAAAUUAAACAUUGGAGCUUGCUGUUGCAGAUGGUUGGAAUUAGACCAUUGCCACGCCUAUACUUGUAUAAUGCAGUGAACAGAAGCUUUAAAAGCUACUUUAACUAAGCCGUAAAUUUAACUACAAAACAAAAGUUGUGAAUGGGCAUCUGUAAUAUAAAACUUAUUAAAAGUGGGCAUUCAAUUAGGGCAUGCAGCUCAGGAACUCCUCGACCAAAAUCUACCACUUUGAAUCCCAUCAAUAGAAAUACACGAAUGGAGGACGGCAUUCUGUUGUCAAUGAUAUCAAAUCAUCUAUUUUAAUUGGAAAUAUUGUUCAAGUUGAAUUACAGAAAUGCACUACUGCGAUCCAUUAAAUUUUGGGCUCAAAACCGGUCCCGAAAUUUAAUAUUACCAAAUAAGUCUCGGCUAUUGUAUAUUUCUGCUUUCUUGCAGAAUCCUUGUCCGAUAGCAUCAAAAGAAAUGCCACAAGUCGGAAAAAUUGACUUUGUGUCACAUUAUGUUUGUUGGCUCUUUUAUAUUACAAUAUUUAAUACGCACGUCCAUAAGUGCACAUAUAAGAAGCAAUACAAACAGUAAAGUAACUGUUUGGCCAAGAGCUGUCUAAGUAACCCAAACACUGGCACCACCCGAGCUUAAGCAAACAGUGCCACAAAUCUGCAUAUAAAAGGCACAUUGCACUUUUCUGAUGUUGAAAUAACAGGAAGCUGUACCUAUGUAAAUAGUUUGCAUUGGAAAAAUUGAAAAGAAACCUCAUGAAUAAAUACACUUAGAAAAAUAAAA